AGCUCCAUUAGCGUAUAUUAACGUUGUUGCAGUUAAAAAGCUCGUAGUUGGACUAGUGGUACGGGUGUGGUGUCUCCACUUGUUGGUGUACAAUCGCACUUGUCCGAUUUUGGGAGGAAUUGUUGUGGCAUUAGGUUGUCGCGGCGAGGGUGCCCAUCGUUUACUGUGAGAAAAUCAGCGCGUUCCAAGCAGGCUUAUGCCGUUGAAUGUGUUAGCAUGGAAUAAUAAGAUAGGACCUUGGUACUAUUUUGUUGGUUUGCGUACUGAGGUAAUGAUUAAUAGGGACAGUUGGGGGUAUUCGUAUUCCAUUGUCAGAGGUGAAAUUCUUGGAUUUUUGGAAGACGAACUACUGCGAAAGCAUUUACCAAGGAUGUUUUCA
rnacentral:rRNA from 1 species